rnacentral:rRNA from 1 species
UACUGGGGGAGCAAGCGUUGUUCGGAUUUACUGGGCGUAAAGGGCGCGUAGGCGGCCACCGCAAGUCGAUUGUGAAAUCUCCGGGCUUAACUCGGAAAGGUCAACCGAUACUGCGGGGCUAGAGUGCAGAAGGGGCAACUGGAAUUCUCGGUGUAGCGGUGAAAUGCGUAGAUAUCGAGAGGAACACCUGCGGCGAAGGCGGGUUGCUGGGCUGACACUGACGCUGAUGUGCGAAAGCUAGGGGAGCGAACGGG